CCUACGGGAGGCUGCAGUGGGGAAUAUUGGGCCAUGGGCGCAAGCCUGACCCAGCCACGCCGCGUGAAUGAAGAAGGCUCUCGGGUUGUAAACUUCUUUUAUCAGGGACGAAGCCAGUUACGGUACCUGAUGAAUAAGCCACGGCUAACUACGUGCCAGCAGCCGCGGUAAUACGUAGGUGGCAAGCGUUAUCCGGAUUUACUGGGUGUAAAGGGCGUGUAGGCGGGAAAGCAGGUCAGAUGUGAAAAGCAUGGGCUCAACCUGUGGCUUGCAUUUGAAACUGUUUUUCUUGAGUACUGGAGAGGCAGACGGAAUUCCUAGUGUAGCGGUGAAAUGCGUAGAUAUUAGGAGGAACACCAGUGGCGAAGGCGGUCUGCUGGACAGCAACUGACGCUGAGGCGCGAAAGCGUGGGGAGCAAACAGGAUUAGAUACCCCGGUAGUC
rnacentral:rRNA from 1 species